AUUGAACGCUGGCGGCAUGCCUUACACAUGCAAGUCGAACGGCAGCGGGCCUUCGGGUGCCGGCGAGUGGCGAACGGGUGAGUAAUGCAUCGGAACGUGCCAUUGAGUGGGGGGAUAACGUAGCGAAAGUUGCGCUAAUACCGCAUAUUCUGUGAGCAGGAAAGCAGGGGACCGCAAGGCCUUGCGCUCUUUGAGCGGCCGAUGUCAGAUUAGCUAGUUGGUGAGGUAAAGGCUUACCAAGGCGACGAUCUGUAGCGGGUCUGAGAGGAUGAUCCGCCACACUGGAACUGAGACACGGUCCAGACUCCUACGGGAGGCAGCAGUGGGGAAUUUUGGACAAUGGGGGCAACCCUGAUCCAGCCAUGCCGCGUGAGUGAAGAAGGCCUUCGGGUUGUU
rnacentral:rRNA from 1 species